UUAUGUGAUCGUCUCUCGCAUAUCAAUAAGCGGAGGAAAAGAAACUAACAAGGAUUCCCCUAGUAACGGCGAGUGAAGCGGGAAGAGCUCAAAUUUGAAAUCUUAAAGGGUUUCCCUUUACGAAUUGUAGUUUAAAGAAGUGUUUUCUGUUGAGGUUUUGGUAAAAGUUCUUUGGAAUAGGACAUCAUAGAGGGUGAGAAUCCCGUAUUUGACCUUUACUUUCAACUUUGUGAUACACUUUCAAAGAGUCGGAUUGUUUGGGAAUGCAGUCCAAAAUGGGUGGUAAAUUUCAUCUAAAGCUAAAUAUUGGCGAGAGACCGAUAGCGAACAAGUACCGUGAGGGAAAGAUGAAAAGAACUUUGAAAAGAGAGUUAAACAGUACGUGAAAUUGUCAAAAGGGAAGCGUUUGACACCAGUGUUGUUUUUCUGAAAAUCAAUUAAAGAACUGUUUAUGCUAAGUUGUUUAGACUUUAUCAGCUAACUGUUUAGUUUUGAGCUUUUCUUUAAUGCACUUUUCAGUUAACAAGUCAACAUCAAUUUCUUUUGCUGUAAAAAAGCUUGAGGAAGGUGGCUUGAGAUUCGUCUUAAGUGUUUAUAGCCUCUUGCCUAUACAGUCGGAGAGAUUGAGGUCUGCAGCGUAGAUCCUUCGGGGCUAAAUGCAUUUGUGCUAAGUUAUAGCAUUUUAUAGACAACUUGUUGACUAUGAUUUGUCUUGUAGCUUACUCGCUUAUGUUAUUUUACCUACGCUUAGGAUGUUGAAGUCAUCGUAUCGCGC
rnacentral:rRNA from 1 species